UGAGCGCGAGGGCCGGGGAGGGCCGCAGCUACAGUCGCCCCGGCUCCCCGAACGCUGAGGCGGCCGGGGUCGGGCCGUGGGCCGGCUUCCGGCUGUCGCUUUGGUACCUGGCGGAGCCCCGGGCGCCCGGAGCCUGCGGACCUCGAGGGCAGGGGUCGCGUGCCGCCCUUCUGGCAUUGGCGCGGCCGGCUAGGAGGGUGCAGAGACGGAGCGCCAGCGGAGGAAGCCCCACACAAUGGAGCAGAACAAAGCGCGGCGGCACCGAGGAAGCGGCCCGUCCCCCGCCCCGCGCGCUGUCCCGCCCCGCCCCGCCCCGCGAGCGCCGGCGUGCGCGCCGUCCGCCCCCACUUUCCUUCUGACCCCGGGCGGGAGUCAGACUACCCGCUAAAGUUGACUGGGAGGGGCCGUUUCGUUUGGGUGUGUGUUACAAUAGCGGGACCCCGGGUAGACGUGGGGCGUCAGCGGGAGCCGGCAGCUUGCCAGGGGGCUUAAACGGAGGCUCCCCAUGUGGCUUCUGGAGAGGGGUCUGCUGAGCAGCGCUGGCGGGAGGCGGCAAGGCUGGUGUUCUAGAACAGACCUCAGAAGAUACAUAGAGAUCCUGUUAUCUUUCAGAUGAAAACCCUGCUCAAAGCACGUUGUUAGGAUUGCCCAGCUGUUUGCUUGGCCUUAAAUAGUUAAUGUGGCUCAAGCUUCCCCAGAAUGUAGUGAGCUGAACUUCCACUUUUGGAAUCAUUGCAGAAUUCAUUAUUUAUUCAGAGAUGAGAAACUUCUACUAAGGAAAGAAACAAGUCCACCUUCAUGGCCCUUCUCAGUUUUUCCUCCUGACCGUGGGACUCCACAUCAUCGUAACCUGCUGAUGUCCAGAAAACAUCCAAUCUUGCCACUGACUCUCAAAAGUCUAAAAAUAUUACAAAUUCCAGGAAGACAAGAUUGCAUUAGAAGGAAGAAUUUGAUGAUGCGCCCUUUCUGCUUCGGACAGUGACCAUGAAACUGCUGGCGACUACAAAAGCUGCCAGACUUCUAUAUGAGCAUCUCUACUGGGAGAGACAUAAUCCUCGUGGGUAUGAUACAUGACUGUUUGCUCCCACCUAGGAAUCACCAUCGAUUCUUACAAGAAGUUGCUGCCUGAUUCACUGGAGCCAACUCCCUCCCCACCUCCAACUUUCCUUCUGUUCUGCAAGUCGCAGGGAUCUUUGCAGUCACAGGAGGCUCAGAGAUUGCAGUAUGUGGGUAUGGCCAUGACCUCCACAGUCAGCAUUUACAAAACAAGAUGAUUCAGCUCAGCCAUGAAAUGAGAAGGUGGAUGGGAGUGAAGAUGGGGGAGCAACCAUCCACUACCUGCAGCCUGUGAGACAGAUGACUUCCCACCUUCACAGUAGCAAUAAGCAGUGGCAUAAAUAUAAUACUGAGGCUCCCUGGGUUCUAAUUCUAGCUUAGGCCCUUUCUCUACUUCAAUUUUUGCACUUAGACCGAACAACUUUCUUGGUAAUGACUACAUGAUGGGUAUAUGCUUUCAGGUUUUACAUAAAAUAUUUCUAUUGCACAGUUACUGGCUUUUGGUCUAAUGCCCUGAGCUGCCUGCUUUGAUAACCCUGCUCUGAUUUUCCUCUGAGAGCUACCAGAGAUUCCAGUCAUAGCCCAUGAGCUUCAACAUGGAGGUGAUCCCUUCUCAGCUCCAGGAGUGAAGCAGGCGAACAAAAGCCUGGCUCAUCAGCAUUUCGUGUUUCCCUGCAUUACGUGGAUGAUUCAGGGGUGGACAGCCAAUCAGAGUGAAUCUCAGGAUUUCUCUAGAAGCUGCCUGAAGAGACUUGCUCUAGUUCUAGUAAUCUGAGUGUUGGGUGUUCUUAUGCUAGGAGCCUAAAGGCAAGAGGAAGAAAUGAAGCAGAGCCAGGAAAUGGAUCCUGGCAGCCUUGUUGAGGACUGAAUCACACUGACCUCAAGCUCUACCUGGACUUUUACUAAUAAAAUCUUGUUUUAGCUUAA